rnacentral:lncRNA from 1 species
UUUGCUUUUAGCCCUCGGAAGGGCAGGAAGGACCACAGCUAGAGCCAAAAACCAUAGCCCUAGAGUGACAGAGAAGGUGUUAGGGGAGCAGUGAGACUCCCCUCCAGCCCCUUCUUCAUAGGGACUGCGGGAAGCUAAAGGAAACCUGCCAAGAACAUGAAGAAUUGCUGGACGAUUUCAGUUUUCUUCUUUGCGUGCAGUUUCCUUGGACCCUGGGCAUCUGCAGCUGUCAAGCGUCGCCCAAGAUUCCCUGUCAACUCAAAUUCUAAUGGUGGAAAUGAACUCUGUCCCAAGGUCAGAAUUGGCCAAGAUGACUUGCCAGGGUUUGACCUGAUUUCUCAAUUCCAGAUAGAUAAAGCAGCAUCUAGAAGAGCUAUCCAAAGAGUGGUGGGGUCAACUGCACUACAAGUGGCUUACAAGUUGGGAAACAAUGUAGACUUCAGGAUUCCAACCCGGCAUUUAUAUCCCAGUGGGCUGCCUGAAGAAUACUCCUUUUUAACUACUUUUCGGAUGACUGGAAGUACACUUGAAAAGAACUGGAACAUUUGGCAGAUUCAGAAUUCCUUGGGGAAGGAGCAAGUUGGUGUGAAGAUUAAUGGCCAAACCAAAUCCAUUGAAUUUUCCUACAAAGGACUGGAUGGAAGUCUCCAAACUGCAGCCUUCUCAAAUUUGCCUUCCAUGUUUGACUCCCAGUGGCAUAAGCUCAUGAUCAGUGUGGAAAGGAGCAGCACCACUCUUUUCAUUGACUGCAACAGGAUUGAGUCCUUACCUAUAAAGCCAAGAGGCCCAGUCGAUGUCAAUGGCUUUGCUGUACUGGGAAAGCUUGCAGAUAAUCCUCAAGUUUCUGUUCCAUUUGAGCUUCAGUGGAUGCUGAUCCAUUGCGACCCUCUGAGACCAUCGAGAGAAACUUGCCAGGAGCUGCCUGCCAGGACACCACUCAGCAGGACCACCGACGAGGUGAGCUGCGGGCAGGAGGGCUGUACUUUCCCCCCACGAGCGCAGAGGCGUGAGGCGUCGGGUGCGGGCGAGGGCACCCCGACCUGUUUCAGGCCCGGAAGGCUGGAGUUGGCCUCGCUUCAGCCUCCCCUUCGGUCUCGGUGAAGAGCGCCCCAGCCCCGGCCCCUGCGGGAGCCGCCGUCCCCCGUCCCUCUCCGCUCUGCAGCCGGAGCUGCCCCGAACCCGGGUCCUGCUCGAAGGGCUGCAGGCUCCGAGGUCGGAACCCAGGGGAACCUGGGAACCCAGGGGAACCUGCGACCCCGGGCCCAUCAGAAUUCCGCAGCGUCUGUCCCAGAGACUCCGUCCCUCCCUCCCGCAGGCUGGAGUGUGAGGUUUCACUGACAAAGACCUCAUUGUAACCUGUCUGUUCCUGGAGUUUAGAAAAACGGGUUUCUUGGAUAAAAGGAGCUUUCUUUUUCCUUUUUAAAUUCAGACCCCCCCCCCAACAAAAACAAAAACAAAAACACCCCACCCAAACCACCCCACACUCCCUGAAGCAGCCUGUUGGUGAGAUUUCAGGUGCUGCAGCCCUCUAGCGCUGGGGCCUAGCAGUGUGCGAGCGGUCAAAGGUCACUCCCCCGGCAGGGUGGUUGUUUUGCAGCGAGGAACAGAGACGCAAAGUCCCCAUGCAAGGGGCUGCAUGGCCGGUAGCCCAGAAAGGAGGCCCGGCUAGCGCUGGGGCUCAAGGCUGCCCUGUUCCUCCCAACUUCUACUGGCAAAGAAAGAUUUCCUUCCACAGCCCGGGCCUGGCCUUCCUUGCCUGACACUGACUUGCAAGGACCCAUUGCCUGGAAGUCUCCAACAGCCCCGUUUCGGGCUUAGUCCCUGGGGGAAGGAGCCUGAGGCCCUCCCAGCUACACACCUCCCUUCUCGGCAGGGCCCCUCCCCAGGUUCACAGGCAGCCCUUCUCCUGCCCAGCCUGCCACGGAGACGCCCGACCCUCAGACCACACUUCGGUUUGACGGAGGUGGCGAAUGCACGCUCCUGACCCCAGUGUGCUGUUUUAGCAGAGAGGCCCUCCUGGAGAGCGCGGGCCCCCCGGCCCCCCCGGGCCCCCCGGAGUUCCGGGCAUCGACGGCAUCGAUGUGAGUCCAGCCUGUACUUUCCAUCCCCGCUCCCCUGGAGGUCAGGCCUAGGCAGGGCUGAGGUGGGGCUGGAGCCGAGAGUGGGGGUCCCCUGAGAGAGACCCCGAGGGUCCUAGCUCCUCCUACUCAUGGCUGCUCCUGCGUUUCCUUUCUUCUGUGCCUCCAGGGCGACCGAGGUCCCAAAGGUCCCCCGGGGCCCCCGGUAAGUGCCUCUGCGCGUUCCUAUAGAGGGCUUUUGCAGCCAAGUGUAUCUCCAGAGUCUCAACUAUGCACCGGUUUUCUCUCCCUGCCUCGCCCGUUCCUGCUCAGGGUCCUCCAGGUGAACCCGGAAAGCCAGGAGCUCCGGGCAAGCCGGGCACGCCGGGCUCCGACGUGAGUACGCGUGCGUGCGCGCGUGUGUGCGUGUGCAUGCGUGUGCAUGUGCGUGGUUUGCUGGGAAACAGCAAGGGAAGAGUGGGGGAGAAGGGUAGAGACCGGAAGGGAAGAAGAGGGGAGGGGAAGGGGAA